AUGACAAAAGACGAGACUCUACUAGCUUCAACCAUUCCUGGGGCCUGCCAAUUAGUCAACCAUAGACAUAUUUUAGUUAAUGGUCGUAUAGUCAAUAUACCAAGUUUUCGUUGCAAACCCCGAGAUAUUAUUACUACGAAAGAUAACCAAAGAUCAAAAGGUCUGGUUCAAAAUUAUAUUGCUUCAUCGGACCCGGGGAAAUUGCCAAAGCAUUUGGCGAUUGACACGUUGGAAUAUAAAGGACUAGUAAAUAAAAUCCUAGAUAGGAAGUGGGUCGGUCUCAAAAUAAAUGAGUUGUUAGUUGUAGAAUAUUACUCUCGUCAGACUUGA
rnacentral:rRNA from 1 species